AUUGAACGCUGGCGGCAUGCCUUACACAUGCAAGUCGAACGGCAGCACGGGAGCAAUCCUGGUGGCGAGUGGCGAACGGGUGAGUAAUACAUCGGAACGUGCCCAGUAGUGGGGGAUAGCCCGGCGAAAGCCGGAUUAAUACCGCAUACGACCUACGGGUGAAAGCGGGGAUCGCAAGACCUCGCGCUAUUGGAGCGGCCGAUGGCAGAUUAGCUUGUUGGGGGGUAAAGGCCUACCAAGGCUACGAUCUGUAGCUGGUCUGAGAGGACGACCAGCCACACUGGGACUGAGACACGGCCCAGACUCCUACGGGAGCAGCAGUGGGGAAUUUUGGACAAUGGGCGCAAGCCUGAUCCAGCCAUGCCGCGUGCGGGAAGAAGGCCU
rnacentral:rRNA from 1 species